UCGAACCCUGCAAAGCANNNNCGACCCGUGAACACGUAAUAAUAACCGAGCNCCGAGUGGGUUAAGCGCUUUGUUUGAUCCUCUCGGUGCUUUGUCGAUGUGCAUUUACUCGAGUCCUUUUGGGCCUUGUGAGUGUGUCAUUGGCGCAAUAACAACCCCCGGCACAAUGCGUGCCAAGGAAAACUAAACUUAAGAAGGCUUGUUUCAUGUUUGCCCCGUUCGCGGUGUGCUCAUGGGAUGUGGCUUCUUUAUAAAUCGCUUCGCCCCCCGCAAAUCUAUGUUGGGGGCGGAUAUUGGUCUCCCGUGCUCAUGGCGUGGUUGGCCAAAAUAGGAGUCCCUUCGAUGGACGCACAAACUAGUGGUGGUCGUAAAAACCCUCGUUCUUUGUUUUGUGUCGUUCGUCGCAAUGGAACACUCUAUAAAAACCCCAAUGUGUUGUCUUAGGAUGACGCUUCGACCG
rnacentral:rRNA from 1 species